rnacentral:rRNA from 1 species
UACGUAGGGUGCGAGCGUUAAUCGGAAUUACUGGGCGUAAAGCGUGCGCAGGCGGUUCGUUGUGUCGGUGGUGAAAGCCCCGGGCUCAACCUGGGAAUGGCCAUGGAAACUGGCGAACUGGAGUGUGGCAGAGGGGGGUGGAAUUCCGCGUGUAGCAGUGAAAUGCGUAGAGAUGCGGAGGAACACCGAUGGCGAAGGCAGCCCCCUGGGCUAGCACUGACGCUCAGACGCGAAAGCGUGGGGAGCGAACAGG